rnacentral:rRNA from 1 species
GACGAACGCUGGCGGCGUGCUUAACACAUGCAAGUCGAACGAUGAAGCCUUCGGGUGGAUUAGUGGCGAACGGGUGAGUAACACGUGGGUGACCUGCCCUGCACUUUGGGAUAAGCCUGGGAAACUGGGUCUAAUACCGGAUAGGACCUCGGGAUGCAUGUUCUGGGGUGGAAAGCUUUUGCGGUGUGGGAUGGGCCCGCGGCCUAUCAGCUUGUUGGUGGGGUGAUGGCCGACCAAGGCUGCGACGGGUAGCCGGCCUGAGGGGGUGUCCGGCCACACUGGGACUGAGAUACGGCCCAGACUCCUACGGGAGGCAGCAGUGGGGAAUAUUGCACAAUGGGCGCAAGCCUGAUGCAGCGACGCCGCGUGGGGGAUGACGGCCUUCGGGUUGUAAACCUCUUUCAGCACAGACGAAGCGCAAGUGACGGUAUGUGCAGAAGAAGCACCGGCCAACUACGUGCCAGCCGCCGCAGUAA